UCAACCAAAAAUCCCCAAAAAAAACCCUAAUAUGCACGCAGCUCUCUCAUUCCUCUCAUUUCAUCUCAUCUCAUCUCAUCAGUCUCUUUCUCACUCUCAUUUUCAUCUGCACAAAUCGACUCCACACCGAUCAAACUCGCAAGAUCGACUCCUCACCGAUCGACCUCACUCUCUCAUUGCACCGAUCGAUCUCAUAGAACUGUAAGAAUGAAGAUGGCAGAAGAGCGAGUUUCACCAGUGAUAUCUCAAUGGAUCAGGAUGAUGACGAUGAGAAAGAAACCAAAUACCGCUUGGAUCCAAAGUACGCCAAUGUAAAAACACCAGAACGACAUGUGCGGACACGCCUUUAUUUCACAUCGGUGAGUAAAAGUAGCUAAUCAUCUUGUUAUUAAACACCCCCCCCCAAUUGAUGCUGUAAUACUCAUCACUGGUGAAACUCGCUCUUCUGCCAUCAUCUUGAUCCAUUGAGAUAUCAACUGUUUGGAAUUGAAUCUGUUGAUUUCUGUUUGGAAUUAAAUCUGUGAUUAGAACUAAAUCUGUUCAUUUCUGUUAUGCAAUCAGAUCUGUUUCAAGAUUAUGUUGCUAGUUCAAGAUUAUGUUGCUAGUUCACAAGUUUUGUAUUGGCAUCUAGGUAGUGAUUGCAAACUUUGUGGUCAUAAUUAGUUUAAGGAUUUUUGUUAACAAGUGUUUUACUGAUAUUUGUUCCGCUUCAAGAUUCUUGAUGGUGCAAAGUUGAAAGUGGCUUUUGAGAAAGCUAAAGUUAGGAAAAUAUGAGUCUUGGAUUAGGCAGAAGUGACAUAUCAUGCUUACCAGAAGGUUCAAGAUGUUUCUCUGCUUCAUUUUGUAUGGUCUUUUUUGCUUUACCAAAUCAUUAGGUCUUGAUCACAAAAAAGGGCUUUG